UAAUACGUAGGGGGCGAGCGUUGUCCGGAGUUACUGGGCGUAAAGGGCAUGCAGGCGGUGCGCUGCGUUUGCCAUGACAGCUCCUCGCUUCACGAGGAGAGAGUGGCAAAAACGAGCGCACUUGAGGGACACAGAGGGACACAGAAUUCCGGGUGGAGUGGUGAAAUGCGUAGAGAUCCGGAGGAAUACCAAAGGCGAAGGCAGUGUCCUGGGUGUUACCUGACGCUGAGGUGCGAAAGCCAGGGGAGCGAACGGG
rnacentral:rRNA from 1 species